UCCAGACUCCUACGGGAGGCAGCAGUGGGGAAUAUUGCACAAUGGGGGAAACCCUGAUGCAGCGACGCCGCGUGGGCGAGGAAGUAUUUCGGUAUGUAAAGCCCUAUCGGCAGGGAAGAAGAAAUGACGGUACCUGUAUAAGAAGCACCGGCUAACUACGUGCCAGCAGCCGCGGGAAUACGUAGGGGGCAAGCGUUAUCCGGAUUUACUGGGUGUAAGGGGAGCGUAGACGGUCCUGCAAGCCAGAUGUGAAAGCCCGGGGCUCAACCCCGGGACUGCAUUUGGAACUGUAAGGUUAGAGUGUCGGAGAGGCAGGCGGAAUUCCUAGUGUAGCGGUGAAAUGCGUAGAUAUUAGGAGGAACACCAGUGGCGAAGGCGGCCUGCUGGACGAUGACUGACGUUGAGGCUCGAAAGCGUGGGGAGCAAACAGGAUUAGAUACCCCUGUA
rnacentral:rRNA from 1 species